CGAUACGUGAACAUGUCACUUAUAGCUAGCUAAUAAAGAGCUACGUUAAGAAAUAUCCUGUAGUACUGCAUUUUAUUAUUUUGUACAAAGUGUGCAAAACAAGACAAUCACGGCGCUAAAUUGAGAAGAAAAAAACAUUAAACAAGUUCAAAUUCAAAACAGUGUAAGCGUUUUGGAAAGGAAUUAUUAGAUGGCUUAUUUGACCGACUGGUAGAUGAGGUAUUGGUAAAUCAAGGCACUUCCUGCUCUGGGUUCCAGAGCCCCUACACCUGUGGGUGUGGCCAUCCUAGCUCCGCCCACCAGACACUGGUGAAGACUAUGGUGCAACGGGGGCCCGGGGUCGGCAGUGACUUUGCAUACGCAGCCAUGGGGGUAUAAUGGGGUUCAGCUCCCUGGCUGACAGGUACACUGGAUGACAGCGGGGCAG
ensembl:lncRNA